AUUGAACGCUGGCGGCAGGCCUAACACAUGCAAGUCGAACGAGUGGCGGACGGGUGAGUAAUGUUUGGGAAUCUGGCUUAUGGAGGGGGAUAACGACGGGAAACUGUCGCUAAUACCGCGUACCAUAAGAUGAGCCCAAGUGGGAUUAGGUAGUUGGUGGGGUAAAGGCCCACCAAGGCGAAGAUCUCUAGCUGGUCUGAGAGGAUGACCAGCCACACCGGGACUGAGACACGGUCCGGACGCCUACGGGAGGCAGCAGUGGGGAAUAUUGCACAAUGGGCGCAAGCCUGACGCAGCCAUGCCGCGUGAAUGAAGAAGGCCUUCGGGUUGUAAAGUUCUUCCGGUGAGGAGGCGUUAAUCACAGAAGAAGCACCGGCUAACUCCGUGCCAGCAGCCGCGGUAAUUC
rnacentral:rRNA from 1 species